AAGAUAUUAUAACCGAGGGAAUUAACAAAAAUCUAGACAUCGAAAAGCUCUCUUCAACUUCAGUAAAUACUUUUCGUAUUGCAGAUUUCGGCUGCUCUACAGGGCCUAAUACAUUCGUUGCAAUGCAAACAAUAGUUGAAACAGCAUGGAAAAAGUUCAAAACUGAAUUAUCAGAUUCACAAGUACCUGACUUUCAAGUCUUCUUUAAUGAUCGAACCUCCAACGAUUUCAACACUCUUUUUGCUUCGCUUCCACCAGAAAGAAAAUACUACGCGGCUGGAGUACCUGGUUCGUUUCACAAACGCCAGUUCCCGAAGGAUUCACUUCAUUUUGCUCAUUCAUCGUGUACACUCAAUUGGCUUUCUGUGAUGCCUCAAGAGAUACUAGAUAACUCUUCUCCUGCAUGGAAUCAAGGAAAAAUUAUGUAUUCUGGAGAGAAAAAGGAAGUGUUAAAUGCUUAUGCACUCCAGUAUGCUAAGGAUUUGGACUCGUUUUUUAAAGCAAGGGCACAAGAGUUGGUUUGUGGAGGCUUAAUGGCACUUGUUGUUCCAACUGUGCCUAACCCUAAUCAUGAUUUAUCUAGUAUCACUUUCCCUUCAUACGAUCUUCUGGGGACUUGUCUUAUUGAGUUGGCCGAGAGGGUACUAUAAAGAACUGAACUGAGUAUUAUAUAGUAACUUAUUGAAGAAGUCAUUAAUGUUCUUUCUUGUUGCAGGGACGAUUCGAUGCAGCCAAAGUAGACUCGUUCAACUUGCCUGUAUAUUACACAUAUCCAAAUGAAUUGAAGGCCAUAAUUGAGAAAAAUCAAGAUUUUCGUAUUGAGAGAAUAGAGGUACUAAACAUCCCGAGCAAGCAUCACACGAAUCCGGACCCCAAAGCAUAUUCCCUGACCCAAAGAGCUG
rnacentral:lncRNA from 1 species